rnacentral:misc_RNA from 1 species
UUGUGGAGGAGGACGCCGAAGGUGGGGCUAAUGACUGGGGUGAAGUCGUAACAAGGUAGCCGUACCGGAAGGUGCGGCUGGAUCACCUCCUAACAGGGAGACAACAAAAUGUAAAUAUUAAUUUUGUCACCUUAGGUCGAUCGGUAUCUCAGAUUCUUAUUUUAAGAAUUUCAGUUUCUAAGUUUUUUCUAGGUCACACCCAUCACUUUUUCCUGGGCCAUUAGCUCAGGUGGUUAGAGCGCACCCCUGAUAAGGGUGAGGUCCCUGGUUCAAGUCCAGGAUGGCCCAUAUCUCUAUGUUGGGGGUAUAGCUCAGUUGGUAGAGCGCCUGCUUUGCAAGCAGGAUGUCAGCGGUUCGAGUCCGCUUACCUCCACUGAAUACCACCUCUUACAUAUAUUUAAAGUGGGAAAUAGUUUUGAUUUGUGUCCUAAUUUGCUCUGAGCGAAUCUAGCUUCCUAUUUAUUCGAUAAAUAAGAUGCUGGACUCAUUGAAUUUUUAUUCCUUGUUUUCAGAGAACCUUGACAACUGCAUAGAUUAUUUUUUUAAAGACAAUAAGCAUCUUUAAUGAUGCAGAUUUAUUAUUUGUGCGAAUGCAUUAAAUAACAAUUCUAUUAAGCUGAUGCUUCAAUUAUGAAGUUAUUGGUCAAGCUACAA